GCCUGGGUGGCUCAGUUGGUUAAGCGUCUGACUUCGGCUUAGGUCAUGAUCUCGCGGUUUGUGGGUUUGAGCCCCGCGUCAGGCU
rnacentral:tRNA from 1 species